CUACUACUCUCUCCGUUUCAUAAUUCUUGUCGAAAUAUUACAUGUAUCUAAACGUUUUUUAGUAAUAGAUACGUCUAUUUUUGGGUAAAUUUGAGACAAGAAUUAUAAAACGGAGGGAGUAUGUG
rnacentral:pre_miRNA from 1 species